rnacentral:rRNA from 1 species
AUUGAACGCUGGCGGCAGGCCUAACACAUGCAAGUCGAGCGGAUGAAGGGAGCUUGCUCCUGGAUUCAGCGGCGGACGGGUGAGUAAUGCCUAGGAAUCUGCCUGGUAGUGGGGGAUAACGUCCGGAAACGGGCGCUAAUACCGCAUACGUCCUGAGGGAGAAAGGGGGGGAUCUUCGGACCUCACGCUAUCAGAUGAGCCUAGGUCGGAUUAGCUAGUUGGUGGGGUAAAGGCCUACCAAGGCGACGAUCCGUAACUGGUCUGAGAGGAUGAUCAGUCACACUGGAACGGAGACACGGUCCAGACUCCUACGGGAGGCAGCAGUGGGGAAUAUUGGACAAUGGGCGAAAGCCUGAUCCAGCCAUGCCGCGUGUGUGAAGAAGGUCUUCGGAUUGUAAAGCACUUUAAGUUGGGAGGAAGGGCAGUAAGUUAAUACCUUGCUGUUUUGACGUUACCAACAGAAUAAGCACCGGCUAACUUCGUG